rnacentral:tRNA from 4 species
GGCGAAUUAGUAUAGUGGUCAGUAUCCCUGCCUGUCACGCAGGAGACCGGGGUUCAAUUCCCCGAUUCGUCG